rnacentral:rRNA from 1 species
CAGUCGCCGCGGGAAUACGUAGGGUGCGAGCGUUAAUCGGAAUUACUGGGCGUAAAGCGUGCGCAGGCGGUUUGUUAAGACAGAUGUGAAAUCCCCGGGCUCAACCUGGGAACUGCAUUUGUGACUGGCAAGCUAGAGUAUGGCAGAGGGGGGUGGAAUUCCGCGUGUAGCAGUGAAAUGCGUAGAUAUGCGGAGGAACACCGAUGGCGAAGGCAGCCCCCUGGGCCAAUACUGACGCUCAUGCACGAAAGCGUGGGGAGCAAACAGGAUUAGAGACCCCCGUAGUCCCUGUCUCUUAUAC